GGGGAAACCGGUGGAAAUCCGGUACUGACCCGCAGCCGUGUACCCGCCUUCUCCCCGAAGGCGGUGAGUCGGAAUGCCC
rnacentral:ncRNA from 2 species